UUUUCAUUGCUGCACGCGGGCUUUCUCUAGUUGCGGCGAGCGGGGGCUACUCUUCGUUUCCAUGCAUGGGCUUCUCAUUGCGGUGGCUUCUCUUGUUGUGGCGUACGGGCUCUAGGCGCACGGGCUUCAUAGUUGUGGCUCGCGGGUUCUAGAGUGCAGGCUCAGUAGUUGUGGCUCACGGGCUUAGCUGCUCCGCGGCAUGUGGGAUCUUCCCAGACCAGGGCUUGAACCCGUGUCCCCUGCAUUGGCAGGCAGAUUCUUAACCACUGCGCCACCAGGGAAGCC